AUCUAAAUAGUUUAUAAUAAAAUAUGAGUUUGUGGGACUUAGGAAACGAGUUUAUUGUUUUAGAUA
rnacentral:tRNA from 1 species